rnacentral:pre_miRNA from 11 species
UGUCAUGCUUUUCCACAGCUUUCUUGAACUACUUUUCCAUCUACCUGUUUGAUGAUCUUCUUCAUAAGGAGUGUGAAAUAGAAGCUCAAGAAAGCUGUGGGAGGACAUGGCAA